rnacentral:lncRNA from 1 species
GGAAGAGAGAGAAAAAAAAAAAGAGGAUGACUAUCCUGACUGAGAAUAGUUGGAGAUUAACACAGAGUACUCAGUUUUUCCCAUUUACUAUGAUGUUACUUGUGGACUUUCCAUAUGUAGCUUUUAUUGUGCUGAGAGACUUGCUCUUUCGCCUAGGCUGGAGUGCAAUGGCAUGAUCUCGGUCCACUGCAACUCUACCUCCCGAGUUCAAGCGAUUCUUUCCCGCCUCAGCCUCCUGAAUAGCUGGGACUACAGGAGCGUGCUACCAUGCCCUGCUAAUUUUUGUUUUAAUAGAGACGGGGUUUCACUACGUUGUCCAGGCUGGUCUCGAAUUCUUGGCCUCUAGUGAUCCGCCUGCCUCCAAAUACAUCACUUUUAUAUCUACUGUGUCACUUACCUGAAUACAAUUUUUAAAAAUCUUCUUGACUAUUUUUAAAUGUUUCAAUUUUUAAUGAUUUUUGAUAUAUCUCUGGAGUUAAAAAACAUUAGACUUGUUAAUGAGGUCCAUGUGAGAGAUUAGGGAACAGAUGCUAUACGUAGUAUAAAUAGAAAAAUAUAUUUAUCAAUUAAUUCCCCAAAACAGGUCUACAAUUCUUUAUCCAGAACCACUGGGGUCAGGCAUAUUUCACAUUUGUUUGAAAUAUAAUUUUUGGUAUUUAACAUUAAAUAUAUAUGUUAAAUAAUAGUCCCAGUAGGGUAUGGACAACACAUAAAAAU